rnacentral:tRNA from 1 species
GGGAAGGUGGCUUAGGGGUAGAGUGCUUGCCUAGCAUGCAUGAAGCCCUGAGUUCGAUUCCUCAGCACCCU